CCUGAUGCAGCGACGCCGCGUGAGGGAUGACGGCCUCCGGGUUGUAAACCUCUUUCAGUAGGGAAGAAGCGAAAGUGACGGUACCUGCAGAAGAAGCACCGGCUAACUACGUGCCAGCAGCCGCGGUAAUACGUAGGGUGCGAGCGUUAUCCGGAAUUAUUGGGCGUAAAGAGCUCGUAGGCGGUUUGUCGCGUCUGUCGUGAAAGUCCGGGGCUUAACCCCGGAUCUGCGGUGGGUACGGGCAGACUAGAGUGCAGUAGGGGAGACUGGAAUUCCUGGUGUAGCGGUGGAAUGCGCAGAUAUCAGGAGGAACACCGAUGGCGAAGGCAGGUCUCUGGGCUGUAACUGACGCUGAGGAGCGAAAGCAUGGGGAGCGAACAGGAUUAGAUACCCUGGUAGUCCAUGCCGUAAACGUUGGGCACUAGGUGUGGGGACCAUUCCACGGUUUCCGCGCCGCAGCUAACGCAUUAAGUGCCCCGCCUGGGGAGUACGGCCGCAAGGCUAAAACUCAAAGGAAUUGACGGGGGCCCGCACAAGCGGCGGAGCAUGCGGAUUAAUUCGAUGCAACGCGAAGAACCUUACCAAGGCUUGACAUGUUCUCGAUCGCCGUAGAGAUACGGUUUCCCCUUUG
rnacentral:rRNA from 1 species